rnacentral:rRNA from 1 species
CACUCCUACGGGAGGCAGCAGUGGGGAAUAUUGGACAAUGGGCGCAAGCCUGAUCCAGCCAUGCCGCGUGAGUGAUGAAGGCCCUAGGGUUGUAAAGCUCUUUCACCGGAGAAGAUAAUGACGGUAUCCGGAGAAGAAGCCCCGGCUAACUUCGUGCCAGCAGCCGCGGUAAUACGAAGGGGGCUAGCGUUGUUCGGAAUUACUGGGCGUAAAGCGCACGUAGGCGGAUCGAUCAGUCAGGGGUGAAAUCCCAGGGCUCAACCCUGGAACUGCCUUUGAUACUGUCGAUCUGGAGUAUGGAAGAGGUGAGUGGAAUUCCGAGUGUAGAGGUGAAAUUCGUAGAUAUUCGGAGGAACACCAGUGGCGAAGGCGGCUCACUGGUCCAUUACUGACGCUGAGGUGCGAAAGCGUGGGGAGCAAACAGGAUUAGAAACCCUGGUAGUCCCA